AGAGUUUGAUCCUGGCUCAGGAUGAACGCUAGCUACAGGCUUAACACAUGCAAGUCGAGGGGCAGCAUGGUCUUAGCUUGCUAAGGCCGAUGGCGACCGGCGCACGGGUGAGUAACACGUAUCCAACCUGCCGUCUACUCUUGGACAGCCUUCUGAAAGGAAGAUUAAUACAAGAUGGCAUCAUGAGUCCGCAUGUUCACAUGAUUAAAGGUAUUCCGGUAGACGAUGGGGAUGCGUUCCAUUAGAUAGUAGGCGGGGUAACGGCCCACCUAGUCUUCGAUGGAUAGGGGUUCUGAGAGGAAGGUCCCCCACAUUGGAACUGAGACACGGUCCAAACUCCUACGGGAGGCAGCAGUGAGGAAUAUUGGUCAAUGGGCGAGAGCCUGAACCAGCCAAGUAGCGUGAAGGAUGACUGCCCUAUGGGUUGUAAACUUCUUUUAUAAAGGAAUAAAGUCGGGUAUGGAUACCCGUUUGCAUGUACUUUAUGAAUAAGGAUCGGCUAACUCCGUGCCAGCAGCCGCGGUAAUACGGAGGAUCCGAGCGUUAUCCGGAUUUAUUGGGUUUAAAGGGAGCGUAGAUGGAUGUUUAAGUCAGUUGUGAAAGUUUGCGGCUCAACCGUAAAAUUGCAGUUGAUACUGGAUAUCUUGAGUGCAGUUGAGGCAGGCGGAAUUCGUGGUGUAGCGGUGAAAUGCUUAGAUAUCACGAAGAACUCCGAUUGCGAAGGCAGCUUACUAACCUGUAACUGACAUUGAUGCUCGAAAGUGUGGGUAUCAAACAGGAUUAGAUACCCUGGUAGUCCACACGGUAAACGAUGAAUACUCGCUGUUUGCGAUAUACAGCAAGCGGCCAAGCGAAAGCGUUAAGUAUUCCACCUGGGGAGUACGCCGGCAACGGUGAAACUCAAAGGAAUUGACGGGGGCCCG
rnacentral:rRNA from 1 species